rnacentral:rRNA from 1 species
UGGGGAAUAUUGGACAAUGGGCGAAAGCCUGAUCCAGCCAUGCCGCGUGUGUGAAGAAGGCCUUUUGGUUGUAAAGCACUUUAAGUGGGGAGGAAAAGCUUGUGGUUAAUACCCAUAAGCCCUGACGUUACCCACAGAAUAAGCACCGGCUAACUCUGUGCCAGCAGCCGCGGUAAUACAGAGGGUGCAAGCGUUAAUCGGAAUUACUGGGCGUAAAGCGCGCGUAGGUGGUUAUUUAAGUCAGAUGUGAAAGCCCCGGGCUUAACCUGGGAACUGCAUCUGAUACUGGAUGACUAGAGUAGGUGAGAGGGGAGUAGAAUUCCAGGUGUAGCGGUGAAAUGCGUAGAGAUCUGGAGGAAUACCGAUGGCGAAGGCAGCUCCCUGGCAUCAUACUGACACUGAGGUGCGAAAGCGUGGGUAGCAAACAGGAUUAGAUACCCUGGUAGUCCACGCCGUAAACGAUGUCUACCAGUCGUUGGGUCUUUUAAAGACUUAGUGACGCAGUUAACGCAAUAAGUAGACCGCCUGGGGAGUACGGCCGCAAGGUUA